CUUAAUUCCAGGGUUCCCAUUGGGUGACUAUGUAUUCACGGUUACAAAAAGCCGACAGCCAAUCACAUCUCAUUCAGUGGCUUCACCUGUUUUUCAAACCGACAUUAAAACACUAUUAAAGAAAAGGGUUUGGUACAAGGCUCAAAAGUGGGGCCAAACUGUUUAAUGUCUCUAUAUAAAUAAUAAAAUAUAAAUAAAAGCAACCAAUCGGAUUACUACCGUUUGCACCAAUGAUGUUUCUCUCUCUCCGCAGAAAGAAUGGCAGCGAAAAUGGCGAGGCGCAUACUUCGAAAAGUAUUUUGUUGCCUCCCACUUUUUAGAAAAGUAAGGGCCUUUGUUUGACUCUAAUAUCUCUGAUUUGGGUUUGCGAAUAAAAGUUACCGAUUUCCCAACGCGAUCGUUACCAUUUAUAAUCCGACUUUAUUCUCUUUGUUUUCAGAAACGAAUUGUGAUAAAAGAUAAAGAAGUUGUUAUUCUGGUAAGGAGGGAACUGCCAAGCAAAUAUAUUGUACCCAUCCCAGUUUGCAUUUCAGUAUAAUAUCAAAUACUUGGCUCUUUAUUUCUAUUAAAUAAACUCUUUUCUUUAUGUGAAACAGGUUCAACCAGAAGAACAAAAACAUCAACCCACUGAAACCAUCUGCGAGCAACCAGUUCCACCUACUGGGAAUGUUGUCUCUCAAGACAACCCGGAGCAGAUUGUGGGGCUUGGAGAUAACACCUUCCAAGAACAAACAGAAGAUGAAACUGGCGUGGAUAUUCACCAGGAACCAGUUCAUCCUACUAGUAAUGUUGUCGCUCAAGAACCCCCAGAGCAGAACAGACAACAAACUUACAUCUUUG